rnacentral:rRNA from 1 species
AUGCACAAGCUCAAGCUGUUCACUCCAAAAACUUCCACCCAAGCAGCAGCAUCGAUCGCAGUUCAACGUUGGAUCUCAUCGGCGUUGACGCCGGUGGCCGGCUGGCCUGACCGCCCCGGCAAACGCGGCGGCGCCGCGCCGAACGACGCGGACCUGCCUACCGCGACGCCGGCCAUCUCCAAUGCUUCGCACGAUUUCAGCGCUCUACUGAUCUUCGCUAGGCCCAUCAUCUCCCCCUCGCGCGCACUGUUCGACGCCAGCGGUCGUAGGGAGACGUCCGGCCACGGCAGCCUCGGGAGCGCCAUCAUGGACGCGGUGCGCCUCACAGCCAUCUCCGUCGACAGGACGCCGUCGCCCCCGGCCUCCUCGGCGCCAGCACCAGCGGCCGCGGCUAGGUUUGCCGCGGGCUCGCUCACGUUGCUACCGGGUGCGGCGGUCUGGUGCGCGCCGGCGGCGACCCUGACAGGAGCGCGGCAGAGCGGGCAGUUGACAUGGGCGCGGAGCCAGGUGUCGAUGCAGCCGCGGUGGAACGCGUGGGCGCAGCGCGGCAGCAGGCGCAGCGUCUCGCCGCCGCGGAACUCCGCGAGGCACACCGCGCAGCCGUCGCCGCCGAGUCCCAGGGCGCGGCACUUGUCGGGGUCGUACACCAGCGCGGUGAUGGCCGCGAUGGCGCGCUCGUCGAGCCCCACGGUGCGUAUGUACCACACGUGGUGCACCCCGUCGUCGGAGUCGCUGUCCGCCGGCACCGGGACCGCCACGUCGGCCGGAGGCCCCCCCUCGGCGGCCUGGUGGUGCAGCGGCAGCGGCAGCGGCGCAGCGUUGGCGCGCUGGCGCCGGCGCCGGCGCACGACGUGGCAGACGAGCAGGACGAGGAGGAGCACCACGGACACGGCGAGGACGGACGCUGAUACAGCGACGAGCGGGGUGGGGAGGCGGGAGGAGGGCCGGAGGUGCACGGUGGCGGUGCGCGAGGGCGGCGGCGGCCGGCAGAGGCCGUAG